rnacentral:lncRNA from 1 species
AAAAUUAAAAAAAAAAAUAGAAUAAUGUUUUAAAAAAAUUCACGAAGUUACUAAAAGGAAGCUCAAAGCCUUGCUGAAUUUAAAUCUUGCCUUUUUAGCUCACCUGGCCCAAAGGGCCAAGUGAGCUUUUCCCAUCACUUUGCAUCCGGCGUCGUCUGUCGUCGCUAACUUUUACAAAAAUCUUCUCCUCUGAAACUACUGGG